rnacentral:rRNA from 1 species
UGGGGAAUUUUGCACAAUGGGGGAAACCCUGAUGCAGCGACGCCGCGUGAUUUAGAAGGCCUUCGGGUUGUAAAAAUCUUUUCUAUGGGAAGAAAAUGACAGUACCAUAGGAAUAAGGACCGGCUAAUUACGUGCCAGCAGCCGCGGUAAUACGUAAGGCCCGAGCGUUGUCCGGAAUCAUUGGGCGUAAAGUGUACGUAGGCGGGUAAGCAAGUUAGAAGUGAAAUCCUAUAGCUCAACUAUAGUAAGCUUUUAAAACUGCUCAGCUUGACGUAUGGAAGGGAAAGUGGAAUUCCUAGUGUAGCGGUGAAAUGCGCAGAUAUUAGGAGGAAUACCGGUGGCGAAGGCGAGUUUCUGGCCAUAACCUGACGCUGAGGUACGAAAGCGUGGGUAGCAAACAGG